AACGCAUAUUGCGCUCUCUGUUAUUCCGGAGAGCAUGCCUGUGUGAGUAUCUACUAAUUCUCAACCCCGAUUAGGAGUUGGAAAUGAGUCGCGUCUCUUUAGACUGACUUGAAAUGCUGUGCCAAAAAGUUUUCUUGAUACCACCUAAGGAAAAGUAAUUGAAUGAGUGAUACUCAGUCUUUUCUUCGUACUUUUGUGGGGAAGGGACGCCGAGUCUUUUGACAAACCAUAAUAGAGCUUUGCUCUGAAACUUGAUCUCAAAUCAGGUAGGACGACCCGCUGAACUUAA
rnacentral:misc_RNA from 1 species